rnacentral:rRNA from 1 species
UACGAAGGGGGCUAGCGUUGCUCGGAAUCACUGGGCGUAAAGCGCACGUAGGCGGCUUUCUAAGUCAGGGGUGAAAUCCUGGAGCUCAACUCCAGAACUGCCUUUGAUACUGGAGAGCUUGAGUCCGGAAGAGGUGAGUGGAACUCCGAGUGUAGAGGUGAAAUUCGUAGAUAUUCGGAAGAACACCAGUGGCGAAGGCGGCUCACUGGUCCGGUACUGACGCUGAGGUGCGAAAGCUAGGGGAGCGAACGGG